CAUCAAGAAGCUAAAUUCGGGUAACAGCAUUGGCCUUUUAAGCCAAAGAUUGGUGCCUCCCAACCACCCCUGAUGA
rnacentral:tRNA from 2 species